rnacentral:lncRNA from 1 species
ACUAUUGGUCGCAUUGAUAACGUUUUUUUUUGAACGACUGAUUGAUUAGAUUAAAAACUGAGUUUACACAAUAACAAAAGGCCUGGACGUUCGGGUCUUCGGGUCAAGUUCGGACCGGUUCCUUUCGGGUCAGGUUCAGGCCGCUUUCUUUCGGGUCAGGGUCUUUCGGAUCCUAAACAUUUAGACCCAAUAAGUACUUAGAAAUUUUCGGUUUGGGUCGGUUCUUCUCGAGUCCAGAUCGGUUCGGGUCUAUAAUUAAAAUACCUAUAAAAUACCCGUAAUUGUUCGGAUCUAUAUUGGGUCCGGAUCGGGUUCGGGUAUUUAGGAUCUAAAAAAGACAUGACAUAUUCAACUCCAUCAAAUUUAGUCGAUAUUUGUCAUAUAUAUCUAAAAUUUUACAAAAUAACUUAAAUAAAACUAUUAAUAAUUAAAAUAAAAUAUUUUUAAACUCUAAAUUUUACAUUUAAAAGUUUCAUAUUACUUAUAAAAUAUUACAAAAUAAUAAGAAAUGUUGUUAACAAAAGAUAUUUCAACUAAAUCAUAAAAUAAUAUCUAUAAAAUAGAACACAAAAAAAUCAUAGUUUUGGAUAUACAUGUUUUAAGUCGGGUACAAAUCAGUUCUAAUCGGAUCGGGUCUAUUCGGAUCGGUUCUUUUCUGGUCCAGGUUU